rfam:Camelus ferus unplaced genomic scaffold scaffold1254, whole genome shotgun sequence.
AGCUCAGUGGGAGAGCACAUGCCUGGCAUGCACGAGGUCCUGGGUUCAAGCCCCAG